rnacentral:rRNA from 1 species
UACGGGGGGGAGCAAAGCGUUUGUUCGGAUUUACUGGGGCGUAAAAGGGCGCGUAGGCGGCCACCCGCAAGUCAAUUGUGAAAUCUCCGGGCUUAACUCGGAAAAGGUCAACUGAUACUGCGGGGCUAGAGUGCAGAAGGGGCAACUGGAAUUCUCGGUGUAGCGGUGAAAUGCGUAGAUAUCGAGAGGAACACCUGCGGCGAAGGCGGGUUGCUGGGCUGACACUGACGCUGAGGCGCGAAAGCCAGGGGAGCAAACGGG